rnacentral:rRNA from 1 species
GACAGAGGUGGCGAGCGUUGUUCGGAUUUAUUGGGCGUAAAGCGAACGCAGGUGGUUUGGUAAGUCAGAGGUGAAAUUCCGCAGCUUAACUGCGAAACUGCCUUUGAUACUGCCUUUCUAGAGUGCAUGAGGGGGAAGCGGAAUUCCGAGUGUAGAGGUGAAAUUCGUAGAUAUUCGGAGGAACACCGGUGGCGAAGGCGGCUUCCUGGCAUGUAACUGACACUCAUGUUCGAAAGCGUGGGGAGCAAACAGGAUUAGAUACCCUGGUAGUCCACGCCGUAAACGAUGGGCACUAGGUGUUCGGGGUAUUGACCCCCCGAGUGCCGCAGCUAACGCAUUAAGUGCCCCGCCUGGGGACUACGGCCGCAAGGUUAAAACUUAAAUGAAUUGACGG